rnacentral:misc_RNA from 1 species
GAUGAAGAACGGAGCGAAAUGCGAUACUUGGUGUGAAUUGCAGAAUCCCGUGAACCAUCGAGUCUUUGAACGCAAGUUGCGCCCGAAGCCAUUAGGCCGAGGGCACGCCUGCCUGGGCGUCACACGUCGUUGCCCCCCCAUCUACUCCUUCGGGAUUGCGGGGGGCGGAUGAUGGCCUCCCGUGCGCCUCGUCGCGCGGUUGGCCUAAAUGCCAAGUCCUCGGCGACGCACGCCACGACAAUCGGUGGUUGCGAAACCUCGGUUGCCUGUCGUGUGCGGUCGUCGCGCAUCGAGGGCUCGAAAAAAUUGCCGGGCUUCGGCUCGACUUUCAACGCGACCCCAGGUCAGGCGGGGUUACCCGCUGAAUUUAAGCAUAUCAAUAAGCGGAGGA